ensembl:lncRNA
GUUGUUGCAAACUUCAUGUGUCAGAACCUUUGUUCUUGAGAUCUGGUCAUGGACAGGGAAUGGUAUUCCUGGAAACCUCUACCAAAUUUCUGUUCUGACAAGGGCAAGGCUCCCAGGACUUUCACACUCCGAAGACCUUGUCCUGGCUAAAAGAAGGCAGAUCUCAGCUGGCAGCUGGCUACCUCAGGGCCAGAUCCCCAGAACCUGCCCAGCUGUCAUUGCUAAUGGAGCCAGGCGCCCAGGAUCCAGCCAACCCUCAUGCUCCUCAGGUUACCUAUAAAGAGUGGGGGCCAGGACUCAUGGUCUGCACAAAGGCGGGGAUCGGGGAGAGGUUCACUGCCGCCUCAAAGCCUGAGCCUGGUCAGCCGGUGGCCUUGGCGAGGGCUCUGUGUCCCUACAGGACACAGCCCUCUGUUCCCUGGGUCCCACUGCUCACCCACUGGCCCAAGGCUGGGUGAGCUGGAGGGCCCUAAGCAAAAGGCCAGGAUUUGCUUCUUACCUUACUCUGUACAACUCUCUCUCCACAGACCGACUGACGGUUGCUCACUGAUAGGUGUUUGCUUGGGGGAGGGUCCCACUGCAGCACUGACCAAUGGCUGAGCAGGACCACUAUCCAUCUCUCAGCUGUUUGCUUGGGGGAGGGGCUCCAGCCAAUGACUGCAGCACCAACCAAUGGCUGAGUAGGGCCACUAACGGUCUUUCAUUGACAGCUGGUCCCUUGGGAUAGCGGCCCACUGGGGCGACGACCGAUGGCUGAACAAGACCACCAGUGGUCCCAGGGUAACUGAUGCCUGGUAAUGACAUGCAGGGUAAUGGGUGCACAUCAACAUUCAGUCACAUGCUAAGAGCUGUGAACUGGCCAUGCUCUAUUACUCAAUACUCUGUAAUGGUCUAUAUAGGAAAAGAAUGUGGAUAUAUAGAUUUGUGUAACAGAUUCACUUUGCAGUACACCUGAAACACAACACUGUAAAUCAACUACACUCCAAUUAUUAAAAAAAAAAAAAAAAAAAAAAGCAUACCAACCACAGGACUGAAUUUAAAUCCUAGUUCUGCUAUUUACCAGCUGUUGAAACUUGGGCAAGUUACUUAACAUCUCCAUGAUU